rnacentral:rRNA from 1 species
AACGAACGCUGGCGGCAUGCCUAACACAUGCAAGUCGAACGAGACCUUCGGGUCUAGUGGCGCACGGGUGCGUAACGCGUGGGAACCUGCCCUUAGGUUCGGAAUAACUCCCCGAAAGGGGUGCUAAUACCGGAUAAUGUCUUCGGACCAAAGAUUUAUCGCCUUUGGAUGGGCCCGCGUUGGAUUAGCUAGUUGGUAGGGUAAAAGCCUACCAAGGCGACGAUCCAUAGCUGGUCUGAGAGGAUGAUCAGCCACACUGGGACUGAGACACGGCCCAGACUCCUACGGGAGGCAGCAGUGGGGAAUAUUGGACAAUGGGCAAAAGCCUGAUCCAGCAAUGCCGCGUGAGUGAUGAAGGCCUUAGGGUUGUAAAGCUCUUUUAACCGGGAUGAUAAUGACAGUACCGGGAGAAUAAGCUCCGGCUAACUCCGUG